GGUAGUGUGGCCGAGUGGUCUAAGGUGCUGGAUUUAAGCUCCAGUCGCUUCGUGGGUUCGAAUCCCACCGCUGACA